GUAAUGAGCACCUUUUUCUUGCUUCCUGCGUUUGCGCUUGUUGCAGAUCUUGACGGUGCACACGGAGAGGAUGAUUGCCACGAUAAAGAAGAGAAUCCCCCCCACCAGGGCUGCUGUUAUUGCCUGCGAGGAAAAGGAAACAGUGGGCAUCGAAGGACACCGUGGGGGAGUGUGAGUAGCUCCUCAGGGUCUUGGAGUAAACACGGAAGUGGUACUUCUUCCCAGACUGCAGCUUCUUGACUGGAGGGGAGCAAGGAAAGGAAGCCCAGGCACACCAACAGUCAUCCUCCUACGCUGUUCCUGAUGGAUCCUUCAGCCAUGUUCAGAGCAGUGCAGUUUAUUCUAACACAGGAAUGAAUGCAGCACAGGAUGAGUCCAGGGAAGACAUCACCACAACACCCUACAGUAUGCAGAACAUCAACUGGUCACUGACGAGUCAUUCUUUUUGUGUCCAAACUACUGUACAACUCAACUGUGGCCAGGAAGUAGCUGCCAAUACAAACUAUGAACAAAAUAAAAGACUAAUAAAAAGUAUUCAACUCAAUGACAGUAAAACGGAACUCAAAGAUCUUUAAAAGUGUGUAGUGAAAUUUCCUUCAUUUCGGCAAGAAGCUUUGUAGAAUGAUAAAGCCUCCCUUCACUCACUGCCAUCCGCACAACAAUCCUAAAACAUAGCUAUGUACUGCAUCUGCAUCCAAGAAGGUAUUUUCUCACAUACCCAUGGGUACAUUUCUACAUGAAGAUAUACUAUGUGAUCUCUCAUUCUUGCUAGGAUAAAAAUAUUGUCAGAUCUAUCAUCCAUUUUAACUCAAUGGUUUUCUAUAAUGCUAUUUUACUACAUAAUUUCAACUAUGUACAACUGCAUCAAGAAAUGUCUUUUCCCACCCACCCAGGACUACAUUUCUACAAUAUAAUCUACACUGCAGGACCCGUCAUCCACCUAGAAUGGAAAUGACUGAUCUUUCGCUGUACAACUGAACUCUUGCCCCAAGUGUUCACUAAGAUGUCUUUAGUAGCCCUGUCAUUCCUCCAAGUAUUAAAACUAUAUUACUUUCCCUCCAAGAACUGUAGUUAUGUACAGUGCAUGCAUCAUUAUUGCACCAGCUGCUUUUCCUCACACUGCUUCCUACUCUGAACUACCCUAACUUUUGCAUUCCCUUCCAUUUUCCUUGUGUCAGAGAUCAGCAGCCUUGAUGAAUCCUUCGAGGCAUUCAUCACUUGUAUCUCCUUUUUUACUGUUAUCUCUCCUUCAGAGUAUCUCUAAAAUGCAUCUCGUGCUUCCCUCCCAAUCUUCCAUCAGAGGUUUCUACACUCAUUCAUGCCGUGACACCAAGACUCAUGUUUGCACCUUCAAUUCUUCGCACUCUUCCCUAGCAGCCUUUCUCUCACCAUUCACACAACAUCACUUCAACUUUUCACAGAACUAAGGGUGAGUGACUGGGUCAAAUGAGGAAACAAGUGAGGCACCACAA